GCGGGUCCCUGGCUAAGGCUCCUCCCCGACGAACCCCAUUCCUGCUUUCCCGCUCAAAUGUUGCAUUUUCUAAGACCUCCCUGGCCCGCCAUACGCCGAUCCUGAACCUACGAAAACCCAAGACUGCGGGCACGGUGGCUCAUGCCUGUAAUCCCAGCACUUUGGGAGGCCGAGGCGGGCAGAUCACGAGGUCAAGAAGUCGAGACCAGCCUUGCUAACAUGGCGAAACCCUGACUCUACUGAAAAUACAAAAAUUAGCUGGGCGUGAUGGCGUGCGCGCCUGUAGUCCCAGCUGCUCGGGAGGCUGAGGUAGGAGAAUCGCUUCAAUCCGGGAGGUGGAGGUUGCGGUAAGCAGAGAUUGCGCCACUGCACUCUAGCCUGGCGACAGAGACUCCUUCAAAAACAACAACAACAACAACAACAACAACAAAACAAAACCUCCCAAGACCCUAGUGGGCAGACACACAGCCAGCCAGACAUGGAGAGGAGCACAUUAGCAGAAGAAGACGCAAGUGGCUGGUCCUCGAGAGGACGUUGAGAGGAGCAUGCCAGCAGAAGAGCACACAACGACAGGCACCGACACACCACCGGCAGGCCAUGCACCAGCAGAAUGAUGCGGAGUUUGACGGGGCAGUCAGAGAAGAGCCUGGGCCGCCAAGGGGCCCGACUCCAGGGGAAAACCAUCUCCCUUCUGGCUCCCCCAUCUGCUGAGAGCUACUUCUACUCAAUAAAACCUUGCACUCAUUCUCCAAGCCCACGUGUAAUCCGAUUCUUCAGGUUUAAGCAUGGUCAUAGCAGAAUCAAUGUGCUCACCCCAUCAUGAAAAAAAAAAUGUGUUAAUGAAUUGAUUACUACUUUGAGUGUGCCAUAUUUUAAAGACGAAGAGAAACUAAUCAAGUUAGUUUUUAUUUGGUCAGAGGCUUGUUUGUGCCUGCUUAUCUAAAGUUAUAAAGGCCCCAAAUAUGGCUCCGUGUUGCAGAGGGACUGUCUCUUCUUAUAUCGACAGAGCCCAUAUUCACAAUGUAUCACACUUACCUCGAUGUAUUGUCUGGAGUUUCCUAGGCUGUGUCCUUUGCCUGGAAUGCUCUCUCUUGCUGGCUGGCUUCUUCCCACCAGCUGUGGCCAGGGCUGCUCCUUAUUCCUUCGUCAAAACUCCGUCUGCUGGGUGUGGUGCCUCACACCUGUAAUCCCAGCACUUUGAGAGGCCAAGGUGGGAGUAUCGUUUGAGCCCAGGAGUUCAAGACAAGCCUGGACAACAGAGCAAGACCCUGUCUCUACCAAAGAAAAGAAAAGAAAAGAAAAGAAACAGCCACUUUCUCUUCCAUGAGCCAGUUUAUGUUUUCUUCACGGCAUUUGUUACAAAUCACAAAUGUGGAGGAAAAAUGAAGGCAAAGCAAAAUAACAGGCAAGUCUGAAAACAAAAGUGUUGCCAGUCACGCUAAGCCUCAGGCACGCAUUCUGAAUGAAGCUAAAGUUUAAAGUCCCCUCUGAUAGAUUUGUGACUUAAAUGUCCACACUAGCAAGUGUGUUUCUCACAUGGAGAAGUAGCACGAUUUUAUGUCAGGAAAGGGAUGAGAACAUGCUUCUUGAACACAUACAAUGCUGAAGACAUUUCCUGGAAAACCAUUGGCCUUUGCUUAGGACAGUUGCAUCACACAGAGAUGUUUGUGGUUCAGAUUUAUAAGAAACAUGGGAACUGAAGCCAAAGCACUACUUUUGCUCAGUAUAACCAGGUGCCAGAUCUAAAGUGUUAGGCAGGUUCCUAUAUGUAUGUUAGAAAAAAGUUGCCCAAGUUUUGGACAAUUCCUUUUCCAUCUCUCUUACAAGUCAACAAAUCGAAGCAAUAAACUAUUCUCUGAAGAAAACAAAUUUAUUUGGUUGAUUCAAACUUUUAAUGAGACUAUUACUCCCCUGUGUGCCUUUCCUUUCUCUGGUUCUAGAAAUACAUCUAGAAAGGGGGAAAAUGUUAAUAUAUUUUCUACUGACUUUAUAUCACAAAUGCUUAGCUUAGAGGGUGGACUCUGAGGAACAGUGUCCUUUCCAAAUAUUAUAAAACUUUGUGUUCAUUCUGGAAAAACAAACAAAAUUAAUCACAAUGAUUUCCUGCUUUGGAGCAAUGAGAAAUGGGAGGGAAACUUCACCUUUUCAUAGCUUUUGAUGUUUGCACCAUGUGAAUUACCCACCCCCAAAUUUAAAAUACGAAUUUUUGAAAAAGUGUUUACCUCUGAGAAGAGAAACUAGUAGUGAAGAAUGAGGAGCUGUAGAUUUUUAACGAUUCUGAUGUAUUUGCAUUUUUCCCAAUGUUCAUGAAUAAAUAAAUGUGCAUUCAUAAUUAAAAAGAAUAAACAACCUGGAAAAAACAAAAAAAGCUCUGCGUUCACUGAUCUCUAAAUAAGAAAAGAUAAGACUUGUAGUGUGGCCUUGUACUUGUACAUCUUUUCCAUGUGCCAAAGAGCUACCCCAUGGUCAAGCCAAGUGGUGAUUAUGUAGCUUUCUCUGAACAGACAUAAUAGGGCUACACAUUCACUGUGAAAAAGCUGCAGACAGAUGACACCAGUCAACAGAACACCCUACACAGAAACUGUAAAACCAUUUUAAC
rnacentral:lncRNA from 10 species